GUAAGGAAUAUUGGACAAUGGACGCAAGUCUGAUCCAGCCAUGCCGCGUGAAGGAUUAAGGUCCUCUGGAUUGUAAACUUCUUUUAUAAGGGACGAAAAAAGGCUUUUCUAAGUCGUCUGACGGUACCUUAUGAAUAAGCACCGGCUAACUCCGUGCCAGCAGCCACGGUAAUACGGAGGGUGCAAGCGUUAUCCGGAUUCACUGGGUUUAAAGGGUGCGUAGGCGGGCAGGUAAGUCAGUGGUGAAAUCCUAGAGCUUAACUCUAGAACUGCAAUUGAUACUAUCUGUCUUGAAUAUUGUGGAGGUAAGCGGAAUAUGUCAUGUAGCGGUGAAAUGCUUAGAUAUGACAUAGAACACCUAGUGCGAAGGCAGCUUACUACGCAUAUAUUGACGCUGAGGCACGAAAGCGUGGGGAUCAAACAGGAUUAGAAACCCGGGUAGUCC
rnacentral:rRNA from 1 species